GACGAACGCUGGCGGCGUGCUUAACACAUGCAAGUCGAACGGAAAGGCCCUGCUUUUGUGGGGUGCUCGAGUGGCGAACGGGUGAGUAACACGUGAGUAACCUGCCCUUGACUUUGGGAUAACUUCAGGAAACUGGGGCUAAUACCGGAUAGGAGCUCCUGCUGCAUGGUGGGGGUUGGAAAGUUUCUGCGGUUGUGGAUGGACUGGCGGCUUAUCAGCUUGUUGGUGGGGUAGUGGCUUACCAAGGGUUUGACGGGUAGCCGGCCUGAGAGGGUGACCGGCGACAAUGGGACUGCGAUACGGCCCAGACUCCAACGGGGGGCAGCAGUGGGAAAUAUGGCACAAUGGGCGGAAGCCUGAUGCAGCAACGCCGCGUGCGGGAUGACGGCCUGCGGGUUGUAAACCGCUUUCGCCUGUGACGAAGCGUGAGUGACGGUAAUGGGUAAAGAAGCACCGGCUAACUACGUG
rnacentral:rRNA from 1 species